rnacentral:lncRNA from 1 species
AUGUUUUUUUUUUAUUUAUUCAUUUUUUUUUAUAAAUGCUUCAUAAAUAAUAUAAAUAAUAUGAGCAGUGAAAAUUUGUCUUCAAACUUAACAAAUAAUUUAUCCUUACAUAACAAAACCAGUGACAUAAAUGUUAUAACUUCACUAACACAAAAUUUUAAACAAAAAUUUAAUGUUUUCCCAUCUACAUAUGCAUAUACAUAUAGAUAUACAGAUAAUAUAAAUAUAAGCCAAUCGAGUAGUAAUUUAUUUUAUACUACUGCUCAUAAUUUAACAAAAGAAAAGUUUACCCCUGUUGAAAAUCAAAAUAUAAAAACUAUUACUACAAUUAUUGGGACAUCUUCCAAAAAAUAUAUGAAUAAUAUAGUUAAAAAAAGUAUAAAUAUGUUUAGUAGAAUAAACACAUCGCAAAGUAAAAGCCUGCGUAUACCCAAAAAAAUAUAUAAUAGUAAAGUUAUACAUAAAAAUCUAAAUACGGAUAAAAAAGUAGAUAAACGGCAAAACAAAUAUAGGAGUCAUUUCUCACAUAAACGUGGUAUUAAUACUGCAAAAAACUACAAUAAUAAUAAUAAUAAUAAUUAUAGUAAUAAUAAUAGUGACUCAUACCAAAACAAUUGCGACCCUUACCAAAACAAUUGCAACCCUUACCAAAACAAUUGCGACCCUUACCAAAACAAUUGCGACCCUNNNNNNNNNNACCCUUACCAAAACAAUUGCGACCCUUACCAAAACAAUUGCGACCCUUACCAAAACAAAUGUGACGAUAUUAAUACUUAUAACAACAGUAUAAAUAACGAAAAUAAAAAUAACAAUAACUAUGAAAACAACAAUAAUAGUUGUAGCAACAGUAAUGAUAACUUUAGCAACAAUAACAAAAAUUAUAAAAAUAAACAAAAUAAAAAUUAUAAAAUAGAUCAUAAUCUUAUUGCAAAUCCCUCAAUACGCGCAAAUUAUAAAAAACCUUAUUCGUUCAUACAAAAUCACAAUAAUAACAAUAAUAAUAAUAAUAACAACAAUAAUAAUAAUAAUAAUAACGACAAUAAUAAUAAUAACAACAAUAAUAGUAAUAACAACAAUAAUAGUAAUAACAACAUAUUGGGUACAAAAAAACAUAUACAAAAACAUAUGUUCCAACAUAAAAACAACAAACAUAUUUCAAAUAAAUUUAUUAACUCUGGUAACAUAAAUAAUAAUCAAAAUUAUUAUAACAAUAAAACAAACGAGUGUGUAGAAAAAAAUAUUCAUUCAAAUUACAACAAUAAGUAUAUAACUAAAAGAUUUACUACUUACAAAGUAAAUAAUUACAAAACAGAAUUUUACAAUAAACCAUUUAAAAAAACAGAUAAAAUGUUUUAUGAAUAUAUAAACACAGAGAUAAAAGAAGAAUUUAAACAAAAAUAUAAAGCGGCUGGUAUUGUUGUUAUAAAAGCAAAUGUAGAGGAUAAUAAACAGAAUGUUAAUAAAAAUAUAAAUUUGAAAAAUAUUAAUAUACAAUUAUUAAUUGGUAAUGAUAAAAUAAAAAAAACAGAUGAUAUAAUUUUUAAAGGAAAUAAUAUAAUUAAUGGUAUGAGUAAUUUAAAUAUAUUAGGAGGAAAAAAACAACAAGAUGAAAAUGAUCCAAUAGAUACUGCUUAUAGAGAAGCAAGUGAAGAAAGUUUAUUUAUUUACAAUUGUUUUUUAUCAUACUUUAAUCAUUUAUACUAUGUUAUGACAGAUAUACAAUCUCUUAAAAAAAAAAUAAUAUGGUUACUUUACAUACAAAUGAUAUAUGUAAUAAACAACUUGUAG